rnacentral:rRNA from 1 species
AUAGGGGAGCCGGAGGGAAACCGAGUCUUAAUUGGGCGUUAAGUUGCAGGGUAUAGACCCGAAACCCGGUGAUCUAGCCAUGGGCAGGUUGAAGGUUGGGUAACACUAACUGGAGGACCGAACCGACUAAUGUUGAAAAAUUAGCGGAUGACCUGUGGCUGGGGGUGAAAGGCCAAUCAAACCGGGAGAUAGCUGGUUCUCCCCGAAAGCUAUUUAGGUAGCGCCUCGUGAAUUCAUCUCCGGGGGUAGAGCACUGUUUCGGCUAGGGGGCCAUCCCGGCUUACCAACCCGAUGCAAACUGCGAAUACCGGAGAAUGUUAUCACGGGAGACACACGGCGGGUGCUAACGUCCGUCGUGAAGAGGGAAACAACCCAGACCGCCAGCUAAGGUCCCAAAGUCAUGGUUAAGUGGGAAACGAUGUGGGAAGGCCCAGACAGCCAGGAUGUUGGCUUAGAAGCAGCCAUCAUUUAAAGAAAGCGUAAUAGCUCACUGGUCGAGUCGGCCUGCGCGGAAGAUGUAACGGGGCUAAACCAUGCACCGAAGCUGCGGCAGCGAACGUAUCACUUAAAGCGAUUCAGCGGGUUACGAUUGACGGAGCGAAGCGACGUCAAAGCGUAUACAAAGUCGAGU